rnacentral:rRNA from 1 species
UCCUACGGGGCGCAGCAGUGGGGGAUAUUGCACAAUGGGGGAAACCCUGAUGCAGCAACGCCGCGUGAGUGAAGAAGGUCUUCGGAUUGUAAAGCUCUGUUCUUGGUGAAGAAAAUGACGGUACCUGAAGAAGAAGCCCCGGCUAACUACGUGCCAGCAGCCGCGGUAAUACGUAGGGGGCAAGCGUUAUCCGGAUUUACUGGGUGUAAAGGGGGCGCAGACGGCGAUGCAAGCCAGGAGUGAAAGCCCGGGGCCCAACCCCGGGACUGCUCUUGGAACUGCGUGGCUGGAGUGCAGGAGGGGCA